UACGGAAGGCAGCAGGGGGGAAUAUUGGACAAUGGGCGCAAGCCUGAUCCAGCCAUGCCGCGUGUGUGAAGAAGGCCUUCGGGUUGUAAAGCACUUUUGUCCGGAAAGAAAAGCUUAGGGUUAAUAACCUUGAGUCAUGACGGUACCGGAAGAAUAAGCACCGGCUAACUUCGUGCCAGCAGCCGCGGUAAUACGAAGGGUGCAAGCGUUACUCGGAAUUACUGGGCGUAAAGCGUGCGUAGGUGGUUUUGUUAAGUCUGAUGUGAAAGCCCUGGGCUCAACCUGGGAAUGGCAUUGGAAACUGGCUUACUAGAGUGCGGUAGAGGGGUGUGGAAUUCCCGGUGUAGCAGUGAAAUGCGUAGAUAUCGGGAGGAACAUCUGUGGCGAAGGCGACACCCUGGACCAGCACUGACACUGAGGCACGAAAGCGUGGGGAGCAA
rnacentral:rRNA from 1 species